rnacentral:rRNA from 1 species
GUCUAUGGCCAUGCGACUGUGAACAAGCCCAAUCCUGUCUGAUCUCUGAAGCUAAGCAGGGUCGGGCCUGGUUAGUACUUGUAUGGGAGACCACCUAAGAAGACCAAGUGCGGUAGGUG